rnacentral:rRNA from 1 species
AUUGAACGCUGGCGGCAGGCCUAACACAUGCAAGUCGAGCGGAGCGGCGGACGGGUGAGUAAUGCAUAGGAAUCUGCCUGGUAGUGGGGGAUAACGUCCGGAAAAGGGCGCUAAUACCGCAUACUAUCAGAUGAGCCUAGGUUGGAUUAGCUAGUUGGUGGGGUAAAGGCCUACCAAGGCGAAGAUCCGUAACUGGUUUGAGAGGAUGAGCAGUAACACUGGAACUGAGACACGGGCCGGACUCCUACGGGAGGCAGCAGUGGGGAAUUUUGGACCAUGGGCGAAAGCCUUAUCCAGCCAUGCCGCGUGUGUGAAGAAGGUCGUCGGAUUGUAAAGCACUUUAAGUUGGGAGGCGUUACCAACAGAAUAAGCACCGGCUAACUUCGUGCCAGCAGCCGCGGUAAUUC